UACGUAGGGGGUUAGAGUUGCUCGGAAUCACUGGGCGUAAAGCGCACGUAGGCGGAUUGCUAAGUCAGGGGUGAAAUCCUGGAGCUCAACUCCAGAACUGCCCUUGAUACUGGCGACCUUGAGUCCGUGAGAGGUGAGUGGAACUGCGAGUGUAGAGGUGAAAUUCGUAGAUAUUCGCUAGAACACCAGUGGCGAGGGCGGCUCACUGUCCCGGUACUGACGCUGAGGUGUACAAAUGUGGGGAGUACACAGG
rnacentral:rRNA from 1 species